AGAGUUGAGAAUGGGUGCUGCCCUUAGAUAGCUGGAUAUGAGGCCUUACUUGUGAAAUUAGGGAUUAGAUGAGAUUGCUAGUUGGCACUGGAGUUCCCCAAUCUUAUAGUUCUAGGGGAUUUCAUCAUGCUUAUUUGCUUAGGGAACAAAGUUGUAUGCCAGCACAAUUACCAGAUUCUUGGUGACCAACAAGAUAUAAAAAUACAAUAAAGAAUUUUUAAAAAGUAGAUAAAACAAAAACAAAUAUACGCCAUAAGUCCUUAAAAGCCCUCCAGAAAUGUGCUCAUUUUCAACCUUUUACUAAAAGCAGCAGUGUGGGAGACAGACAUAUCUGCAAAGUUUUAGGACAGCCUUCUCCAAGCUGAUGCCCUUCAGAUAGGUUGUUUAUACUCCACCUUUAUUAUUAUUUUUUAUUAAUAACUCGAGACAGUAAAUACACAAUAUACUCCUUCCUCCUCCUAUUUUCCCUAAAACAACAACCCUGUAAGGUGAGUUUGGCUAAGAGAGAGAGAGAGAGACUGAUCCAAAGUCACCCAGACAGUUUUCAUGCCUAAGGUGGAUCUGGAACUCACAGUCUCCUGCCUUCUAGCAUCGUGCCUUAACCACUACACCAAACUGGCUUUACGCGGGGCUAUAAUUCCCUGUUUUGAAUGUUCUGCUUGCUACCAUGCCUAAUAGUGCUGCAAACAAGAAUUAAACUAUAAGGGGGUGGAUGGAAAAACAAUGGCACAAGGAGGCUUGGUAUGUGUGAAGUGCUGUGCCAAUCUCAUCCAUGCACCACAUAUUGGCUUGUUAUAUUUUAUUAAAGCUAUAUAUUACAGGCUAGCAAAUAAAUGAAAAACAAAUAAAGCAACUGUGAGAGGUGAAGAUGGAGCUGACAUUUUGUUCCAGGUGCAAUAUAAUGUGUGUGCUCUUUUAAACAGGGAUAUCUCAUAUAAUCAAAUACAGACCAUUGAGAAAAACGCAUUUGAACCUGUUCCACUUCUGCAAUCUAUGUAAGUCUUUAAGUAAAAAAAAACCUCCCCAGUUUAAACCAUGGUGAAAAUUGGGGUAGGAGGCAAACUGAAAUCAAAUGGCAAUUAAUCUUCCAGCUGUAGGUGUGUCAAUGACUUAUUAUUGAAUGGUUGACUGCCCUCAACCCUUUUUAAAAUGGGGAGAGGGAGCUUGGACUCAAGGAUAAAUGAAUUUUGCAUUUUCUAAGAAGUACUGUAUGAGUUCAGACUGAACUCUGAGUGGUUCAAAAUUCAGCUCUAGGUUUGAUUGUCAGGGCCAGACCUGAGUCUUCAUAAGUGGGAAGAGCCUAAAGUGUUUUUAUAGAGUUGUAGGGCUUACUAUGAAUUGGAAUCUCUAGAGGCAAAAUUAUAUGGCUUGCAGGGAAUUUCAUUAGCCCUUUGAAUCAUGAGCUCUGCCAUCCUAUUAAGUAAUGAUACCUUAACCCUAACAUGCAUUGAAGCUUCUAACUAAAGAACUAGCAUGGUAAUUGGAGGAAGCCUGGAGUGAUUGUUGAAAAGGUCAAAAUGGUAGUAUACUAGCUUAGUUCAUUGGAAAAGGAAGAAAUCACUCUCACCCUGCACAUAAUUCUCGUAUCCCCAGUCAACGAAGAAGAAGAAGAAAGUUUUUGGGUCUGCUUUAUUUUAUCUGUUGUUUAUUUAAUACAGUGGAAGACGUUCUACAUAGCUUUCUUGCUUUCCUUUCCUUUCCAGCAAUCUCAGUGGCAACCGUAUUGUGCAGAUAAAACAGGGGGCUUUUCAGGCCUGGCACGGGAUGCAGUUGCUAUACAAGUUGUAAGUGAAAGUGAAACUCUUUCAGAUAGUGGGUGAGAUAGAUGGCUUCUAACAAUGGGGCACAAACUCUCCUCUAAUGCUUGCAGGAGAUCAACAGGUUUGUAAGAUGGCUUUCAAUCCCAAACAUUUCUCUUUUGAAGGAGAAGGGGGAAGAUAUAGCCUCUGAGUAGGGAGAGCCAACAGUCUCUAAGUUGGUCUCCAAGGCAGAUGUCUUGAUCUCCCACCAGGAUAUAUCUGGGAUAUUUUCUUACAUUGUUAUGACUUUACAUCCCAUUGUUCCCAUAACAUUGGUUAUUCCACACCUCUUCCUUGGAGUAACAAUAACUAGCAUUUUGUGAUGAAUUCUUAUAAAUGAGCUAUAUAAAUACAUAAUAGAUAAGUGAGAUUCGAGGCACUAUUAGUAUAGCAAUGGUCCAUAAAGUCAUUACUGCUAAAAUAUAUUUAAGGCAAGUCACCCAAAAUACAAUGGCAGAGCUUUAAGGCACUCUUUGAGAUACUAAGCAUUUUCUCAUAAACCCUCUUUUUUCAUGUUCAGACAACUUAGAGAGGGAAGGAAAAAUAUCAUAUAUUUUUAACUUUAGUUUUUAACAAAAAGGUAAGCGCUGUAGUGGAAAUAUUUGCAAAUUUAAACAGGAGAGUUGGGAAACUACACAAUCUGUACCUCAUUCUAAAAACUCUUGUAAGUAAAGAAUCACUAAAUUGGAAAGUAUUCCAUGAGAACAUUAAUCUCUCGAAUUUAGGUAGCAUUAAUUUUAUUGUUUAAUCUGUAAAAUGUGAGAAAAAGCCUUUGAUGGAAUAGGAUCAUUUUGGGAGAAAUGAUCCCAAAGAAUAAGAAUUUAGGUAUGCCUUUAACCUAGCACAAGAUCUUAUAGAACAAGUAGAGAACUAUGGUUUUGCUCCAUUUAACAUACAUGCAAUUAUACUGAGGUGCUCAGAAAUGAGGGAUUGAUUUAAAAAGAGGCAAAGUUCCUAUUAGGAGCUUUUGAAUGAAUUUGGUGGUAAGAGGAACCUGUUCUUUAACUGAACGGAAAAAGUUAAAGGAAAGAAUAAGACAAUCAGAAAUAGGUUUAGUGCACUUGAAAUAUAGCAUUUUAUGUGGUGCAAAAUAACCAGAUAAACUCUUUCCCAUAAGAAGUAGCAAAUUUUACUUUGGGUAAUUCUAAAGGGAAAUGGAGAAAAGAUCUAUCAAAGGCUACCAGUCUUGAACUUUCAGGGAAUGCUGCUAAGGAUAAGAGCAUGUUCCUGCCACUUUUUUGACUGGAAGUGAGAACUAAGUAUGCCAGAUAAAUAUAACAAAGUUGAAUGCAGUGGAAAUGAGUUAUUUAAAAAGUAUAUUACCUCUUAAAAAGAAAUCAUAGGAUCCAUAAGAAUAUUGAUGAUGAACAAAUGUGAAUUAAACACAAAAGUAAUUAGCCAGUAUGGAAGAGAUGCAGUUUGUUGAGGUAGUUUAAACUGAGUGGGAAUUGAAAUGCAAAACAAUACAUGAAAAAAGAGGACUGAGAGAAAAGGAAAACAUGGAGGGAUGGAAUUGACGAGGAUCUCAAAAGAGAGAAGGGAAAAAUGUAAAGGCAAAAUAUGGGAUGGGCAUGGAAACACGGAUACUUGCUUAUAGGUAGAAAAAUGUGGAGAGAUAAAGUAAAAAUGCUGAUAUAAACUAGAUUUAUAUUUCUUUUUUCAGAUCUGCUGCCUUUAAUUUCUUUUGUUUAUUAUUUCUUACUAGUAGGAUUAGUAAUUAAUAAUAAAGUUAUUUAAGGUCAAAGAACAAAAGAAGACUUGAAAAAUUUGUUGCUUAUACGCUACCUGAAUUCUUCCUCUUUUAUUCUGCUACCUCAAUUGUGCCAAACUGAUAACCAGCUCUUUUGUCCUUCAGGAUUCUCAACCAUAACCCACUGAGAAAGAUUGAGGAUUCCCAUUUCUACAAAUUGCCCUCACUGAGAUACCUGUAUGUGUGAAGUUGCUCUUGGCUUUAUUAAGGGUUUGUUUACUCUGGAAUGUAUUCAGCUUUUUUUUUCCUGAUUAAUUUGGCUUGGGCUACUAUAUCUGAAGAUCAAUAUGGUCCUUGGUCAGGGUCAGAAUUACCUGGGUCCAGAUUUUCUUACAGGCAUAGAAUAGCAUAACCAUGGACUAGUCAUUAGCUGUCAGUGCUUUAACAUUGUCUAGAUCAGGAAAAAGAUCCCACAAGAAGACCAGAACUAGGCUUCAUUGAGAAGGUUAGAUAGUUGCCUUGAGGUCUGAAGGAAAGUUGGUAACUGUAAAUAAAUCACAGAGUUAUUUUUGUAAGGAGAAAACAAAAUAGGCAUGAAUUAUAUAUGUAUGUAAAAAAGAGGAAAAGGAGUAGGAAAACAUUGUAUAUUUUGUAUUUGCUAUUGUCAGCAUUUCAUUCCAUUAAUUUUUAAUCCUGGGUCCUGGAUCUCUUACCUAGACUGGAAUUUAUGAAUGAAUCCAUGGAACUACAUGCAGUUGCUUUAAUUCUACAUUUGUUUCUUUGUCAGCACACAGUAAAGGGAAACAUCCCAAUAUAUUUUGUACCCACUGGAAGACUUUAGGCAAAUUGACUUAUUUUAGAAUAAGCUUUGAAGCUCAAGCCUUGCACAAAAUCACCAGUUAGCAUUUUUAUUUAGUGUGAACUUAUCACAAGACCUAUGUAUUCCCCUACAACAAAAGCCUUGUGGGUUAGGAUGGCUGAGAAUGAGUGGCUGAUCCAAAGUCAUAGAGGGAGUUCAGACAAUUAAGUGGAGACUGGAACUUGGGUCUUCCCACGCCCUUAAUCAUUCUGGAUCUUAAUUGCUCUGACAACUCCUAUGGAAACCAGUGCCAACAAUCUCAGUGAUGGGCUGUGAUUAAUUAAUAGGAAGGAACAUCUUUAUAUGUAUUUCUUUUCUUACUUUAAGCAUUGAUUCAUAUAUGGCAGGACGGACAUCCUGGCAUUUGAAACUCAGCUUGGGGGCUAAGUCAUGGCAACUUUCCAGUCUGGCUCUGCAUGAUGAAGAGUUGUGUACAGUAUUGUUCAGCAGAAGCAAUCCAUUUUUUACCUCCCUGCAGUAGCUGGUCAAAUCAUUUGAUUACUUUUAAAUUACCACAUUGUUAUUUGAGUCCUUUUCCUCAAGGAGCUCAGAGCAGUGAAAUAAUAAUAUUUAUUCAUUUUAUAUUUGAGCAAUCCAAUCAGAUAAACCAAGUUCUCAACACUUACGUUGGUCAACACUUGCAUACAUUGAAUAUAAAAAUUGGCUACUAAACGUGUGUUGUGUUUGGUCCGUGUACUGAACCGUAAACAUAUCAUGCUAAUCCAAAAAAAGAGCACAAAGUAAGAUUUAAAAUAAUCUAGUUUUGCCUAUUAUGUGACUGUAGAUGCCAGGUCUUAACUUGGUUAACUGUGUUGUAAGCCCAAUCAUAAACUAGGUCAAGGGAUAACCAAUGAGGCGAAGUCUCCCACUCAAUGUCAUGAAUUCAUUUUCACUGGCUGUGUUCUGCAAAUUGUCUAACUCUUCCUAUCUCUGGAAAAGUCUGCAUGUCCUUUUUUUGCAGAGACCUUGGUUCUACAGAAAUAACCAUAGACAUACUAGAGAAUUUGCUCAAAAUCUCCUUCAAGUUGAAAACUCUUAUUUUGCCUAGGAAAAUGUCCUGCUGCCUUUGCCGAAAUCAGGAUGCCAUUGAAACUUUCUCUAAUACCAUCAAGUUGGAUUGCUCCAAAGAAUGUCUCCCAAACAUCUUUGACGAUGAGAAAGAGGAACUUUGGGAAACUAUGCAAGAUGAUGUAAAGAAAGUACUGAAAACCAGAAAAUUAAAUGCCACCAACAUACUAAAUAUUAUCCCUGAAAAACCUGAACAUCAUAAUGUCACACUAUCACUCUUGGUGACCCACGGACAUACUCAUUUAGGUAUCCAUUUUCAUAAACACACACCAGAUAUUCUUAAAUCAGUCAGUGGAUUGAGUAAACUCGCUCCUGAUGAAUAUGUGGAUGUGAAGUGGUCUGAUAAAAAUGAGCUGGAUAAGCUGUAUAAGUUAACAAAUUUGCUACAGGUGGCUCUCAAAGCAAAAUUAGCAGAAAACGAGGAGGAGAUUCAAGAUUUGGAGAUCCAAAAGGAAUUGCCUGUAGAAAUUUCAGAUUAUGGCAACAUCAUCCUAAGCAAUAAAAGCCAUAGGAAAAGAUUAAAGAGCCAUCUGAAAAGGGUAAAGAGAGACCACUGGUUUGGAAAAAAUCCAAGGGAAAAAGAGUUAUUUUUUAGGUUCAGAAAAAACGUAGAAUUUCCAAAAGCCACUGGAAAACCUACAGGAGAACAAGGAAAACUUGUGUUGUGUACCACGGCAGAAAAACGGGAGAAGCUAGCAAGGGAACUAGAGCUUCAGAAGGCUGUUUCUCUUAACAGGUUUCUUCAGACAGUACUUCAUUCCUUACAGAAUCAUUCCAUUUCGAAUCUUCCAACUAAGAUGCCUCUCUUGACUGCUUCUAUUGUAGUUAAGGUUGGUGCUGAAGACUCAGAAACUUUGAACAAACACUUGCCUGAUAUAACAUUGUCUCAUGAGACACAUUGGAAGCAUCAUAAACAAACCACCUCUGCUCUCCCCAGCAGAGACACUGUUGACAAGUUGCUUCAGAAGGAACUCUAUGAAGUUGAGUUAAACAAGGUGUUGGCAUCUAUCUUCCCAAGUGAGUCUGAAGCUCAUUUAAGGAAACUCUUUUUCCGCCUGAUCCCUAUUAUGAACAUGGACUGCAGUGAGCCCAAUAUCCAGAUGGCUUGUAAUAAAUUAUUCUCUACACUAAAUCUUCUCUUGAAGGAUUUCAAUGUGAAACCCAGCCAGGAGACACCUGUUCUAUGGAACUCUUACUUUUGGCCCACUAAGAACAUAAAUGAUAUGAUUACGGCAAGCUCCAGAAAAAUGGAGAAACCUUCUGAUGAGAUAGCAAGGCAGCGAAUUCCAGAAUUUGAGUAUUACCAAAAGUUACUGUUGGGCAUUUUGGUGGCGAUUAUGAUGGCUAUGGUUGCAUUAAUUCUUUUGAUUACGGCCUGCAUGGCAUAGGUCCAAGUUACCUGAGAAACCAUCCCACCCCAAUGGGACUGAUCCACCCCAUUCAUACCAGCAGAGGAGACAUGCUGCAGUCCUAUCACGCAAGGAAUUUUGGCUGGUGAGGUCCAGGAGAAGGACCUUCUCUGCUAUAGCUCUUGCCCUUUGGAACCUCCUGAGGUGAGAUCCCACCCAUCUGACCUUCCAUAAGGGCCUGAAGACCUGGCUCUGCCGGAUGAUUUGGGGCCCCAAUGGGGGAGCAUCACAUAGAAGUGGUUGAUCCCACCUCCCAUCCAGUGCACAUCCUGCUUCCUCCCUCCCUUCCUGUUUUACUUUUUAGUUAUUUUUAAUUUAUUAAGUUUAUAUUUGAUUGUAACUUCAUUUUUAUCAUAUUAAAAAUAAUUAUCUUUAUCUUAUGGUUUUAAUACAUUCUGUAUUAAAGGGAUAUUAAGGAUACAUUAAAGAAUGUAUCUGCCCUCAGUGUGGAAGGGAUUGUCACUCUCGAAUUGGCCUUUUUAGCCACACUAGAUGCUGUUUCCAGAGCACGAUACCAUAGUCUUUUGAGACUGAAGGAUGGCAAUAACUAACCAAUAGUUUUAAUACUUUUAAUGCAAUAAAUCACCUAGGGUCGCCUUGACACAAGAUGAGUGGCAAUUAAAUCUAAUUAAUAAACAAAUGACUAGGUCAAGCUGGGCAAUGAUAAAAUACUAAAACUGCUGCCAGAGCAAUACUUAAUUUUAUUUUUUUACCAGUACCUCGGGAACAGAAGAAGAGGAACCAAAGGCAGUUCAAAGAAAGUAAGUUCAGGAGAGGAAGAGGGAGGUGAAGAAAACCUAUCAUUCUAUGAUCAUAUCUAG